rnacentral:SRP_RNA from 2 species
GUCAGGUGUGGUGGUGCACGCCUGUAGUCCCAGCUACUCAGGAGGCUGAGGCAGGAGAAUCGCUUGAACCCAGGAGGCGGAGGUUGCAGUGAGCUGAGAUCACGCCACUGCAUUCCUGCCUGGGUGACAGAGAGAGAACCUGUCUCAA